AGACGAAUCGAUUCGAAUUUCUUAACCAUGCAUGGCGAACCUAAUCCCACGACAUCCACGCACCGCGAAGGGUCGCUUCAUUUGUCAGCCGUCCCCAUCAAUUCCCAGACCCAUGUUGGGUCCACUUCCCUUGGUACAAGGCUCCACAAACCCGGCCUCUGCCAUUCUAUGACCACACUUGUCACCACAUGCGGCCGCAAGGGAACUUCGUUACAGAGACAAUGGAACGAUCCGCUCACGUUCCGGUUCAAUCAAGUACUAGGCUUCCCCAUCCCAUACUAGGUAUGAGAUUAGUACUUUCAAACACUUGAUCAUGAACACUAUCACAUCUCGACCUUAGUUCAAUUUCAUGUAGACAGACAGAGCAAUCCACCGACCAC
rnacentral:lncRNA from 1 species